AUGGCGCGGGUGAGGGACUACUUUUCUCAGAGACGUGUAGGAUCGGAUGACACUGAAAGAGACGAGGAAAACCAAAAGGCAGCUCAAGAAGAAACCCCAGAGCAGGAGACGCUUCCUGAGGGGAGCGACAAACUCAUCGUUCUCCGUGACAAGUCACCGGCGUGCGACACUGAGAAAUGUCCGAGCAUCCGUUUGGCUGAGAAGCCUGCGGCUGCAGAAUGCCAAGAUAUCGACGAGUCGGUCUCAACAGCCGAGGAAAAGAGUCAGAAAGCUCCACCAGAAGAGAGGAGAGAAAGCGCAGACAGGCAGACCAACAGCUUCUCAUUUGGAACCGUGGUGGCUCCGUUGUAUCAUCAGAUGUUUGGCCGAGUAGGUAAUAAAAAUCCAGUUCAGUCCACGUUGCACCCUGAAGACUCGAGUCCCCGUCACACUGAGAGAGGACAGGUCCAUACAGGUGCAAAAGGUCCCCAAGGACAAGACACUCAGAGUCAACAUUCAAACCCAGAAUGUUUAGUUCCAAAUCGUCCGCCACUGGAACAAGAAGAACGGAGUUUAAGCGUGACGGCAAACAACAUCACGGACUACAAAGAAACUGUGCAGCAUCCAGAUCACGUUUUCCACUACGACCAGAUACAGACAAACACAUCUGAGGUACAUUCUCACGCCGCGAAGGUUGUAGCUCUAGAUUCCUGGAGUCCACGAAAGCCUGCUGAGACACGUGAAACACGAGAAGCCACGUCAGCAUUUAUGGCACCUCAACCUUCUGAGAGCGUGUCAGAGCGCGUUGGCGGCGAGACGCAGCGGCAGGCCAGCGGAGCAGACCACAGCGACGCCAACGCAGAGGAUGACGCCUGCGAGACAGAAGCUGCACCACCAACCGCUGCCCGCUCACAGGAGGGUGAAGCCAUUAAAGCUUCACAUGGUUUCAGCCCUAAACACACACAUAAUUCAGAUACUGAAGAGACGCAGAUGAGCUGCGGUUCUUCUUUAAUUGGUAACAAUCACGUGUUUGUGGAGCUCACAAGUGAGGACGCUCAAAGCGCAGAGCAUCAUGGAAUGGACUCGAAACAGGAGGAACUGGCUGGCGUGAACUGGGAAGCUAUGGUUGAAGAAGAGGAGAAAAACAUAUUAACAGAUGAAGAGGCAGUGGCGAACGACCACGGACAGUUAGAGGAUGCAGGGAGAACAACAGCAAUUGAAAAAAAAGAUACCGCAGAGACGGUAGAAGAGGAAAUCAUUUUUGAGGAAAUUAAAGCUGCGAGACAGAAAUAUAACGAGGCCGAGGAAGCAGAUGUUUCAGAGACGAAUGGCGAACAAAGUGGGGAAACGAAGGCCCGAAAAGGUGCGGAAGAAGUUGCAAAAGAAUUCCAAUAUAGCAAAGCCCCUAAUGAAGCUGGAGAAAAAGAUCUAACUGAGGAGAUUAAAGAGGAGAGAAGAGAGAAACAAGAGUUUGAUAUUGAAAGGAAAAAUGUCCGAAACAAAGAGGAGGAAGGGAUGGAAGUACAUCUGAGCGAUGAUGACCAGGCAGGUUUGGGGUGGGAGGAUCAGGUAAAACCAAGAGAGGUACACCUAGAAGAAGAUAAUCCACAUCACAGCGGGGAGAGGUUUGUUGUUGAAACAGAAGAGUCAGAGAUGAUCGAUGCAGAGUCAAAGGGCGGGACGAUGGAGGACGGGCAGAAUGAAGAGCACUGCUCUGAAGCCUCCUCAGACGUCACACAAAACAAGGUCGGCGAUGCUUUAUCUGCUUUGGUGAACAAUGUCCAGGACUCGGCAGGAAUUGACACCCAACACAUCUCAAGUGAAACGCAUCUCUGCAAAGAGGACGAUUAUUACUUUUUCACAAAAGCAACACUACAAAGAGCCGUGGGGGCGGAGAAGGAAUCCGCCGCUUGGUUCCUUUCUACAGGUGAACCUGAAAACGAUCCAACAAGCCGCGAGAGCGCCUCAGCAGAGUCCGACUCAGACGACGAGGUGGAGUUGUACAUGCACUGCCUCAGGGCCGUGCACAGCGGGGCCCAGGCGGACAGGAACAAGGACGCGGGUUUCGGUGAGGGCAAGUCACGGCCCCCUGUGAGCAGAGGCAAACUUCCGCCAAUGCCGUCCAUCAGUGAGUGUCAGGAUGAAGAACAACACCCCGGCUGCCUCCGUGAGGACGAGGAGACAGCACACGUCCGUCCCACAGCUGCAGCUCCGCCGACGUCAAGAGGACAGGAGGACACCGACACGAAGGUUUCACGGCGGAAAGAGGCUUUUUCCUGCAGCGAGAUCUCAAAAAUCUUGUUAUUGGUCACCUUGUUGGUGGUAUUUUUUGUCGUGGCCUACCGUUAUGAUUUCCUUGCUUGUUUGGGGCUCUACUUGGUAUCCGUGGUUUGGCUCUACUGUCAAGAAGAGAGGCAACAACAAAAACAACAGAAUAGGUUGGAUUAA
ensembl:lncRNA